rnacentral:rRNA from 1 species
CAAUAAGCGGAGGAGAAGAAACUAACGAGGAUUCCCUCAGUAACGGCGAGUGAAGAGGGAGGAGCCCAGCGCCGAAGCCUGCGGCAGGUUUGCUGUUAGGCAAUGUGGUGUGUGGGUCGAUUGGCGGGACCGCCGCUCCACUCGAAGUCCAGCAUUGAGUAUGGCAAUAAGUGAGUAUGGCCCAUAGAGGGUGAAAGGCCCGUAGCACAUCAUCGUCGUUGUGUCAAUGGGAGUGGAGGUGCAGGCAAGUGAGGCGGUUCACCAGGUCGACCUGAGAGUUGGGGUGUUUGAGAAUGCAAC